UGGGCUCGUAGCUCAGUUGGAAGAGUGCCGCCUUCGCGAGGCGGAGGCCACGGGUUCAAAUCCCGUCGGGUCCAU
rnacentral:tRNA from 1 species